AGGCAACUUCCGGGAACGUCCGUUUCCUCACCGGUACGUGGAGAUCAGAGCCCCAGCUUCCAGGGUUUGUCGUGCUGGAUCAUGGUGUGGGUGCUCGACACGGAUUUAUUACUCUGAUGAAUGAAUGAAGACUUGGCAUCUGAUUCUCACAAUAACCCAUGACGAAGACACACGUGUUUGGAGAACGCUGGUUUCUUUGCAGAACUUGGCAGAGUCUUCAGCGUCCAAGGAAACGCUUCUCAGCAAUCCAAUAGGAGAUUCGCAGACAUUAUUAUUAUUUCAAGUUUGCAAGAGAAGAAAAAUACC